GGGAGGUGUGUGCGCGAGUGUGCAGCGCGGUGGAGAGCUGCGGGUCGCGCCGCCGGCUGUCAGCUAGCUCCGCGCCGCCGCCCGAUGGCGCGAGAAGGCGCGCGGGCCCAGUCCGCGGGGGCCGGCCGCGGGUGAGCCCCUCUGCCUGCCGCCCGCGAGCAUGUCACCUCUAGCUGCCGCGGCAGCCUCCGCCUGCAGUGCCAGUGCCCCCGCCUCCCGCGGCCUCAGCCGCUGCCUCAGGCAUUGGUCCCCGGACCCCCACCCCUGAUACAAGACCAGACCCCUAGCGCCAGAGGACCAUGGCUGGCCAGGGGGACUGCUGCGUCAAGGUGGCCGUCAGGAUCCGGCCUCAGCUAUCAAAGGAGAAGAUUGAGGGCUGUCACAUCUGCACCUCUGUUACCCCGGGAGAACCCCAGGUCCUGCUGGGGAAAGACAAGGCCUUCACCUAUGACUUUGUCUUUGACCUGGACACCUGGCAAGAACAGAUCUAUUCAACCUGUGUGAACAAGCUCAUCGAGGGCUGCUUUGAGGGCUACAAUGCCACAGUGCUGGCCUAUGGACAGACGGGGGCCGGGAAGACAUACACUAUGGGCACCGGCUUCGACAUGGCGACGUCGGAGGAGGAGCAGGGCAUCAUCCCAAGGGCCAUCGCACACCUCUUUGGGGGCAUCGCUGAGCGCAAGCGUAGGGCACAGGAGCAGGGCGUGGCUGGGCCUGAGUUCAAAGUCAGCGCUCAGUUCCUGGAGCUCUAUAAUGAAGAGAUCCUUGACCUGUUUGAUUGCACCCGUGACCCUGACACCCGCCACCGCAGGUCCAACAUCAAGAUCCAUGAGGAUGCAAAUGGUAGCAUCUACACCACAGGUGUUACUUCUCGCCUCAUUCACUCCCAGGAAGAGCUGAUUCAGUGCCUGAAGCAGGGGGCCCUGUCACGCACCACAGCCAGCACCCAGAUGAAUGUGCAGAGCUCCCGCUCCCACGCCAUCUUCACCAUCCACCUGUGCCAGAUGCGUGUGUGUGCCCAGCCAGACCUGGUGAGCGAGGUGACCGGCCUUCCUGAGGGCACAGCUCCUGCGACAGAGUAUGAGACACUCACUGCGAAGUUUCACUUUGUGGACCUGGCGGGUUCAGAGCGACUAAAGCGGACUGGGGCCACUGGCGAGCGGGCCAAGGAGGGCAUCUCCAUCAACUGCGGCCUGCUAGCCUUGGGCAAUGUGAUCAGCGCCUUGGGGGACCAGAGCAAGAAGGUGGUACACGUGCCCUACAGGGACUCCAAACUCACUCGGCUCCUCCAGGACUCGCUAGGGGGCAACAGCCAGACCAUCAUGAUCGCCUGUGUGAGCCCUUCAGACCGAGACUUCAUGGAGACCCUCAAUACACUCAAAUAUGCCAACCGGGCCCGCAACAUCAAGAACAAGGUGGUGGUGAACCAGGACAAGACCAGCCAGCAGAUAAGCGCACUACGGGCAGAGAUUGCUCGCCUACAGAUGGAGCUGAUGGAGUACAAGGCGGGCAAGCGGGUUAUUGGGGAGGACGGCUCUGAGGGCUACAGCGACCUGUUCCGGGAGAAUGCCAUGCUACAGAAGGAGAACAGCGCACUGCGGCUGCGGGUGAAGGCCAUGCAAGAGGCCAUCGAUGCCAUCAACAACCGCGUCACCCAGCUCAUGAGCCAAGAGGCCAACCUGCUCCUGGCCAAGGCCGGUGAUGGCAAUGAGGCCAUUGGUGCGCUAAUCCAGAACUACAUCCGAGAGAUUGAAGAGCUUCGGACGAAGCUCCUGGAGAGUGAGGCUAUGAACGAGUCGCUGCGCCGCAGCCUCUCGAGGGCCUCUGCUCGGAGUCCCUACUCCCUGGGUGCUGCUUCAGCUGCCCCGGCUUUGGGGGGCAGCCCGUCCAGCUCCAUGGAAGAUGCCUCCGAGGUGAUCCGCAGGGCCAAGCAGGACCUGGAGCGGCUGAAGAAGAAGGAGGUCAGGCAGCGGAGGAAAAGUCCAGAAAAGGAAGCCUUCAAAAAGAGGGCAAAACUCCAACAGGAAAACAGUGAGGAGACAGAUGAGAAUGAGGCAGAGGAGGAGGAGGAAGAGCAAGACGAGAGUGGCUGUGAGGAGGAGGAAGGACGUGAAGAUGAAGAUGAGGACACAGCCAGUGAGGAGAGCCUGGUGGACUCAGACUCAGAUCCCGAGGAGAAGGAGGUGAACUUCCAGGCGGACCUGGCAGACCUGACGUGCGAGAUCGAGAUCAAGCAGAAGCUGAUCGACGAGCUGGAGAACAGCCAGCGGAGGCUGCAGACCCUCAAGCACCAGUAUGAGGAGAAGCUGAUUCUGCUGCAGAACAAGAUCCGCGACACGCAGCUGGAACGUGACCGUGUGCUGCAGAACCUCAGCACCAUGGAAUGCUACACAGAGGAGAAGGCCAACAAGAUCAAGGCAGACUAUGAGAAGAGGUUGCGGGAGAUGAAUAGGGACCUGCAGAAGCUGCAGGCCGCACAGAAGGAGCACGCCCGGUUGCUUAAGAACCAGUCACGCUAUGAGAGGGAGCUGAAGAAGUUGCAGGCUGAGGUGGCAGAGAUGAAGAAGGCCAAGGUGGCCCUGAUGAAGCAAAUGCGUGAGGAGCAGCAGCGGCGGCGACUGGUGGAAACCAAGAGGAACCGGGAGAUCGCUCAGCUCAAGAAGGAGCAGCGGCGACAGGAGUUUCAGAUCCGAGCUCUGGAGUCCCAGAAGCGGCAGCAGGAAAUGGUCCUGAGGAGGAAGACCCAGGAGGUUUCUGCUCUGAGGCGCUUGGCCAAGCCCAUGUCUGAGCGGGUGGCGGGGCGUGUAGGAAUGAAGCCUCCCAUGCUGGACUCCGGGGCUGAGGUGUCAGCCAGCACCACCUCAUCUGAGGCUGAAUCUGGGGCCCGCUCCGUCUCCAGCAUUGUCCGCCAGUGGAACCGCAAAAUCAACCACUUUUUGGGCGACCACCCUGUACCCAGUGUUAAUGGCACCCGCCCAGCCCGAAAGAAGUUCCAGAAGAAGGGGGCCAGCCAGAGCUUCAGUAAGGCUGCAAGGCUCAAGUGGCAGUCCCUGGAACGGCGGAUCAUCGACAUUGUCAUGCAGAGGAUGACCAUCGUCAACUUAGAGGCUGACAUGGAGCGGCUCAUCAAGAAAAGGGAGGAGCUGUUCCUCCUCCAGGAGGCACUGCGGAGGAAGCGGGAGCGGCUGCAGGCUGAGAGUCCUGAGGAGGAGAAGGGGCUGCAGGAGCUGGCUGAGGAGAUCGAGGUGCUGGCGGCCAACAUCGACUACAUCAACGACAGCAUCACUGAUUGCCAGGCCACCAUUGUGCAGCUAGAGGAGACUAAGGAGGAGCUGGACUCAACAGAUACAUCGGUGGUCAUCAGCUCCUGCUCCCUGGCGGAGGCCCGCCUCCUGCUAGACAAUUUCCUCAAGGCAUCCAUUGACAAGGGGCUGCAGGUGGCACAGAAGGAGGCCCAGAUCCGGCUGCUGGAGGGCCGGCUGAGGCAGACAGACAUGGCCAGCUCCUCCCAGAACCAUCUGCUUCUGGAUGCCCUGCGUGAGAAGGCUGAGGCGCACCCUGAGCUACAGGCCCUCAUUUACAACGUGCAGCAGGAGAAUGGAUAUGCCAGCACUGACGAGGAGAUCUCAGAGUUCUCUGAGGGAAGCUUCUCCCAGUCGUUCACUAUGAAGGGUUCCACCAGCCACGAUGAUUUCAAGUUCAAGGGUGAGCCUAAGCUAUCUGCCCAAAUGAAAGCUGUGUCGGCAGAGUGCCUGGGUCCCCCGCUGGACGUCUCCACCAAGAACAUCACCAAGUCCCUGGCCUCCCUCGUUGAGAUCAAGGAGGAUGGAGUGGGUUUCUCUGUCCGAGACCCCUACUACCGGGAUAAGGUCUCACGCACCAUCAGCCUGCCCACCCGGGGCAGCACUUUCCCCCGACAGUCUCGAGGCACAGAGACGUCCCCUCUGACAAGAAGGAAGUCAUAUGACCGAGGGCAACCCAUCAUUAGCAGGUCCACAGAUGUGGGAUUCACACCCCCUUCGUCCCCUCCCACUCGGCCCCGCAAUGAUCGCAACGUCUUCUCUCGUCUCACCAGUAAUCAGAGUCAGGGGUCAGCGCUGGACAAGUCUGAUGACAGCGACUCCUCUUUGUCGGAGGUCCUGAGGGGCAUCAUCUCCCCAGUCGGAGGAGCCAAAGGUGCACGGACGGCCCCACUGCAGUGCGUCUCCAUGGCUGAGGGCCACACCAAGCCUAUCCUCUGCCUGGAUGCCACGGAUGAGUUGCUUUUCACGGGGUCCAAAGACCGCAGCUGCAAGAUGUGGAACUUGGUAACAGGGCAGGAGAUCGCAGCUCUGAAGGGCCACCCCAACAACGUGGUCUCCAUCAAGUACUGCAGCCACUCUGGGCUUGUGUUCUCCGUGUCCACAUCCUACAUCAAAGUGUGGGACAUCCGCGACUCAGCCAAGUGCAUUCGGACCCUCACGUCCUCAGGCCAGGUGAUCUCAGGUGAUGCCUGCACCGCCACAUCUACCCGUGCCAUCACCAGUGCUCAGGGGGAGCAUCAGAUCAACCAGAUUGCCCUCAGCCCCUCCGGCACCAUGCUGUAUGCUGCCUCCGGCAAUGCAGUUCGCAUCUGGGAGCUGAGCCGGUUCCAGCCCAUCGCCAAGCUGACUGGCCACAUUGGCCCUGUGAUGUGCCUGACAGUUACCCAAACUGCCAGCCGGCAUGACCUCGUGGUGACUGGCUCCAAGGACCACUAUGUCAAGAUGUUCAAGCUGGGUGACUAUGUGACAGGCACCAUUGGGCCCACUCACAACUUUGAGCCACCGCAUUACGAUGGCAUUGAGUGUCUCUCCAUCCAAGGAGACAUCCUGUUCAGUGGCUCCCGAGACAAUGGCAUCAAAAAGUGGGACCUGGACCAGCAGGAGCUCAUCCAGCAAAUUCCCAAUGCACACAAGGACUGGGUGUGCGCCCUGGCCUUUGUCCCAGGCCGCCCCAUGCUGCUGAGUGCCUGCCGUGCGGGUGUCAUCAAGGUCUGGAAUGUGGACAACUUUACACCCAUCGGUGAGAUCAAGGGCCACGACAGCCCCAUCAAUGCCAUCUGCACCAAUGCCAAGCACAUCUUCACAGCCUCCAGUGACUGCCGGGUAAAGUUGUGGAAUUACGUCCCUGGACUCACCCCCUGCCUUCCUCGCCGAGUCCUGGCCAUAAAGGGCCGCGCCACCACCAUGCCCUGAUGCCCGCUCCUCUCCCGUCUCCUCUCUCAUUCUUCCCUCUUUCCUUUCCCCUCUCUCUCCUCACUUCGAUCUGAGCUGCUUCUUGACGUGACCUGACGGUGAAGUUCUGGAGUGUACGGCGGUUACCCCACAGUGGCCCACCCUAGGAGUGAGGGCGGAGGCAUGCCCUCCGGACCCUCGACCCCGGCAGCUGGACAGCACAGAAGGGAAGCUAUGGCCUGGCCUGAUGGGGCACUGCCCUGGGGACAGGUGUGGGUUUGGCCCCUUCUCCUGUUCUCCCUGCCUUCCCCGGGAUGCUGUUUCCUCUGUCCCUCCCCUGACUCUUGGAGCUUCUUGGGAGAGCAAGGGUGGGGAGGAAAUUAAGCUGUGAAGCCAAAGGGCAUUAUCCCCUCUGUUCCUCUCUCCCUCACCCACCACUGGUCAUGUGUUCUCCUGCUGAGCUGGCCCUGCCCCUCCUCCUGGCCUUUGGCCCAGCAGUGGGGCUCUGUGGGGUAGGUGAGGCAGCUAGCCAGCCCCAUCAUGGUCAUGCUCCCGUCAUGCCCCUCAAACCCUGCCACAUGCCCCCAGGAGCUGGCCUCCCCCCACAUUCCCAGCCAGCAUCUGGAGCCAGUGCACCUGCCUCUGAGCCCAAAAAGCUAGUCCUCAGGUAACCAUGGAAACCAGGUGUAGACAGCUGGGCCUAGCAGCUGAGCCCUAACCCACCCUAUGGCCACAACUAGUGCCACUUGGCCCCAGCAAUUGCCUAGGGUUCCUUUCUGAUGGGGCCAAGGGGCAGCUGCUAGAAAGAUUCCUUUGGGGAGAUGGUCAGAAAUACUUCGGUUAUUUAUUGGUUUUUUUAUUUUUAUUUUUUGCUGUUGCCUCCUGGAAACUGACUUGAAGUUUCUUCCCACAUGUUUUUUCCCUCUGCUCUUGGGGACCCUGGAUUCCAAAGGGAGUCCACUGCCCCGGCCUCAGGGCCACCUCCUCCGUUUGCUUUGCAGAGGAGGGACAUGCCCCUUUGACUCCUUGCAGCUUGGGCCUGUCCUGACAUUACCCGCAGGGACCUUCUAGCGCACCCCUGGCCUUUAGGCCUCCUGAUGCUUCAGUGCCUUCCUCUACCCUGAGGCCUGGCACCGCGCUGGGCAGCCUCACACCAGCCAUGCCCAUGACACCACAUGUGUCUUCUCACUCGUGGGGUCCCGUGCCCAACGACCCCGGAAGGCGGGGGAGCUCACCCCCCCCCCCCCACAGCCCAGGGCCAGGGAGCCUGCUCCUCAGAUUCCUACGUGGGUCACGUAGGAAGCAGCUUGGUGGACUGUCCACUAGGAUAUGGCUUGGAUGGGGAGGACAGCCCAGCACCCUUACCCCUCACAGUCCACCCAUAUUUUUAUCCUAACUAGGACAGGGAGUCUCUCCACCAUCUUUUUCUCUGGUUUAUUCAGGAGAUACAUUUUCAGCCUUAAAACUGGCAUGGGGCACUGGCGCUCCCUUUUAGGAGGUUAUCACUGCAGAGGGAGUUCUCUGAGUUUCUCUUUUCCCUGGGGCUGUGAACCACAGCUCUGGGCAGGGUAUGUUAAGUCAGUGUUCGGGUGCCCCCUGUUGGGGAAACUCUGAAUUUGCAGGAAUGGGUCUUGGGUGGGGCCGGGCUCCACCCCCUGUCCCUCAGCCCCCUGUAAGCCUGUCCACAUGGUUUUCCAUUGGGAAGCAGGAACCCCAGCUCUGUUCAAAGGACACAGUGACUUUUGGACUUUCUGGAGGUGGCUCUGUUACUACCCUCGGCGUCUCUCCUUUGUCCAGGGCAGCCAGAGCCUGCUCUUAGGGGCCCCUAGUGU